rnacentral:rRNA from 1 species
CCUACGGGAGGCAGCAGUAGGGAAUCUUCCGCAAUGGGCGAAAGCCUGACGGAGCAACGCCGCGUGAGUGAUGAAGGUCUUCGGAUCGUAAAACUCUGUUAUCAGGGAAGAACAAAUGUGUAAGUAACUGUGCACAUCUUGACGGUACCUGAUCAGAAAGCCACGGCUAACUACGUGCCAGCAGCCGCGGUAAUACGUAGGUGGCAAGCGUUAUCCGGAAUUAUUGGGCGUAAAGCGCGCGUAGGCGGUUUUUUAAGUCUGAUGUGAAAGCCCACGGCUCAACCGUGGAGGGUCAUUGGAAACUGGAAAACUUGAGUGCAGAAGAGGAAAGUGGAAUUCCAUGCGUAGCGGUGAAAUGCGCAGAGAUAUGGAGGAACACCAGUGGCGAAGGCGACUUUCUGGUCUGUAACUGACGCUGAUGUGCGAAAGCGUGGGGAUCAAACAGGAUUAGAUACCCUGGUAGUCCACGCCGUAAACGAUGAGUGNUAGUGUUAGGGGUUUCCGGUCCCGUUACGUGUCUGCAGCUACGACAUUAAGACACCUCCGCCGUCGGGGUACGGUACGACCCGACCGAACGGUUAGUAAACGUACGUAAAGUAGUAAGUUAGUACGGGACGUGAGACGUUACGACCGACGGACGACCGACGAGGGAGGUAGGG